ACAGGGGUGCCGUAAGGCUGAGACAGUCCCUUAUGACCUGAUCUAGUUAAUGCUAGCGUAGGGAGUCAUAU
rnacentral:ncRNA from 2 species